rnacentral:lncRNA from 1 species
CCGCAACUUCCUUACCUUUCCUCUUCUUAGUAUCCUUAGAAUAGGAUGCCAAAUGAGCACUUUCUGUCUUAUCUUGCUUUAUCCUUUCCUCCUCUUGCACCCAAUGUGAAAUGAGCUCAUUAAGAGUCCAUUUCUCCUUCAGGCAGUUGUAUCUGACCUUAAACUGAUUAAAGUGUGCAGGAAGAGAUAUCAAAACUAAGUACACAAGCAGUUCCUCAGGUAAUUCCAGCUUGAGUGACUUAAGUUUCGAAN